rnacentral:rRNA from 1 species
UACGUAGGGGGCAAGCGUUGUCCGGAAUCAUUGGGCGUAAAGCGCGUGUAGGCGGCCAGAUAAGUCCGCUGUGAAAGUCCAGGGCUCAACCCUGGGAAGCCGGUCGAAACUGUCGGACUAGAGUUCGGAAGAGGCGAGUGGAAUUCCCGGUGUAGCGGUGAAAUGCGCAGAUAUCAGGAGGAACACCGAUGGCGAAGGCAGGUCUCUGGGCCACUACUGACGCUGAGAAGCGAAAGCAUGGGGAGCGAACAGG